rnacentral:rRNA from 1 species
GAUGAACGCUGGCGGCGUGCCUAAUACAUGCAAGUCGAGCGAACAGACGAGGAGCUUGCUCCUCUGACGUUAGCGGCGGACGGGUGAGUAACACGUGGAUAACCUACCUAUAAGACUGGGAUAACUUCGGGAAACCGGAGCUAAUACCGGAUAAUAUAUUGAACCGCAUGGUUCAAUGGUGAAAGACGGUUUUGCUGUCACUUAUAGAUGGAUCCGCGCCGCAUUAGCUAGUUGGUAAGGUAACGGCUUACCAAGGCAACGAUGCGUAGCCGACCUGAGAGGGUGAUCGGCCACACUGUAACUGAGACACGGUCCAGACUCCUACGGGAGGCAGCAGUAGGGAAUCUUCCGCAAUGGGCGAAAGCCUGACGGAGCAACGCCGCGUGAGUGAUGAAGGUCUUCGGAUCGUAAAACUCUGUUAUUAGGGAAGAACAAAUGUGUAAGUAACUAUGCACGUCUUGACGGUACCUAAUCAGAAAGCCACGGCUAACUACGUG